AACAUCGCGCACCUGCGGGAACCUGCGGAGGGAUCAUUACCGAGUGUGGCCCCAUUUUUAUAAAAGGGGUACCUCCCGUCCUUUGCAGGCCCUUUUGGGUGCUUUUUGACUUUGCUUCGGCGGGGUUACCCCGUCGGAACACCCUCAAGAAAAUCUCUUUUAAAAACUGUUGUCUGAGCGCUUGCAAAUAAAUCAAAACUUUCAACAACGGAUCU
rnacentral:misc_RNA from 1 species